rnacentral:snRNA from 1 species
GGAUGUGAGGGCGAUCUGGCUGUGACAUCUAUCACCCCGUUGAUGGCCAGGGUUGAUCGGGCUGAUCUAUCUGGUUAGGUGCGUGUCCCCUUCUUCUUUGCCCCUCAUGUGCGUCCCUCCCGAAGCUGCCCGCUGGGUGGAAGACAACGACCUCCCCUGAUAGAGGAGGACUGAUCAGCUGUGAACGGUAUACAAGUAGCUACGCUCCCCCACUAGACCCUCCUAACAAGCUUUCAAGGUCCACUUGUAGGAGAAUGUAGAGCAGUCAAGCUUCCAAGACCCCAGACACAUCCAAAUGAGGCGCUGCAUAUGGCGUUCUGCCUUUUUCU